rnacentral:rRNA from 1 species
AGAGUUGAUCCUGGCUCAGAUUGAACGCUGGCGGCAUGCCUUACACAUGCAAGUCGAACGGUAACAGGUUAAGCUGACGAGUGGCGAACGGGUGAGUAAUGUAUCGGAACGUGCCCAGUCGUGGGGGAUAACUGCUCGAAAGAGCAGCUAAUACCGCAUACGACCUGAGGGUGAAAGCGGGGGAUCGCAAGACCUCGCGCGAUUGGAGCGGCCGAUAUCAGAUUAGGUAGUUGGUGGGGUAAAAGCCUACCAAGCCAACGAUCUGUAGCUGGUCUGAGAGGACGACCAGCCACACUGGGACUGAGACACGGCCCAGACUCCUACGGGAGGCAGCAGUGGGGAAUUUUGGACAAUGGACGCAAGUCUGAUCCAGCCAUGCCGCGUGCGGGAAGAAGGCCUUCGGGUUGUAAACCGCUUUUGUCAGGGAAGAAAAGGUUCUGGUUAAUACCUGGGACUCAUGACGGACCUGAAGAAUAG